UACGUAGGGUCCGAGCGUUGUCCGGAAUUAUUGGGCGUAAAGGGCUCGUAGGCGGUCUGUCGCGUCGGGAGUGAAAACUUACAGCUUAACUGUGAGCGUGCUUCCGAUACGGGCAGACUUGAGGUAUUCAGGGGAGAACGGAAUUCCUGGUGUGAGCGGUGAAAUGACGCAGAUAUCAGGAGGAACACCGGUGGCGAAGGCGGUUCUCUGGGAAUAUCCUGACGCUGAGGAGCGAAAGUGUGGGGAGCGAACAGG
rnacentral:rRNA from 1 species